rnacentral:rRNA from 1 species
GGCGCACGGGUGCGUAACACGUAUGCAACCUACCUUUAACUGGGGUAUAGCUCAGAGAAAUCUGAAUUAAUCCCCCAUAACACUACGACAUGGCAUCAUGAUGUAGUUAAAGCUCCGGCGGUUAAGGAUGGGCAUGCGGUACAUUAGCUAGUUGGUGAGGUAAUGGCUCACCAAGGCUACGAUGUAUAGGGGGUCUGAGAGGAUGAUCCCCCACACUGGUACUGAGACACGGACCAGACUCCUACGGGAGGCAGCAGUAGGGAAUAUUGGUCAAUGGACGCAAGUCUGAACCAGCCAUGCCGCGUGAAGGAUGAAGGCCCUCUGGGUCGUAAACUUCUUUUAUUAGGGAAGAAACCUCAGGAUGCGUCCUGAGCUGACGGUACUUAAUGAAUAAGGAUCGGCUAACUUCGUGCCAGCAGCCGCGGUAAGACGAAGGAUCCAAGCGUUGUCCGGAUUUACUGGGUUUAAAGGGUGCGUAGGCGGAAAAUUAAGUCAGUGGUGAAAGCCCGCAGCUCAACUGUGGAACUGCCAUUGAAACUGGUUUUCUUGAAUAUAGCUGAGGCAGAUGGAAUAUAACAUGUAGCGGUGAAAUGCUUAGAUAUGUUAUAGAACACCGAUUGCGAAGGCAGUCUGCUAAACUAUUAUUGACGCUGAAGCACGAAAGCGUGGGGAGCGAACAGGAUUAGAUACCCUGGUAGUCCACGCCCUAA